rnacentral:lncRNA from 1 species
CACAUUAAAGGCACUCAAUAAAUAAAAAUACAUAUUGAAUGAAUGAAGAACUGGAAGGUAGGGUAUGAUGGGAAAAUGGCAAAAAUAUGAGGCCUAAGAGGUGGCCAGAGACCAUGCCCUGAAUGACCUCAAAGCCAUGUUUCUGAAGGUCAAUGGGAUACCACUGAUCUGUCUUAUGUAUGGGAUUAAUAUGAUCAGACUUGUAUUCUUUUAAAAUCACUCUGAUAAUAGUAUAGAGGAUUAGUAGAAGGUAAGCCUGAGAGAAGAAGGAAUCGGAAUUUCUGAUAGAUGGUAAUGCCUAUCACUGAAAUAAGGAACAUGGGAGAGAAAUAGUUUGGAUGGUGGGUAUGGUGAUGGUAAGAAAUGACAUUUUAGACAUUUGAAGUAGUGGAUUAGAAGACAGUACUGAGGCUUCACCAAAAUGUAACACAGAGAGACAAAAAGUAAAAAUAUAAAAGAGCGGUCAAAAGCCAUGGAGGAUAUAUUGAACUAGUCCAUUGUAUAUUUAAUAGGAAAUCCAGAACAAGAUAAAAAUGAGAAUGUUGGAAAAUGAUAUUGAAACAGACGACUGAGAGUUUUCCAGGAUUGAGAGUCAAAAAUCUUUAUAAUCUUUAUUCCGGUUGAAGAUGCACCCAAAUAUGAAACAAGAAAAAUAAAAAUAAAUCUGUACCAAGUCAUGUCCCAGUGAAACUUCAGAACAUCAAGAGUAAAAAGGAAAAUAGUACAAACUUACAGAGAGAAAAGAGAUUGCCUGCAAUAGACUGACAGUGGGUCCAACAGCAUGCUUUCCUCCAGCAACAAUACAUGCUGAAGGCGGGUGACCGAUAUCUUCAAAGUGCUAUGAGAAGUACCACCUACUCCUCAUGCCAUCUGUAUGUGGAACUGAAGCACAGAGCUCUGAUAAUUCUUUCUGAAGAAUUCCGUAUGCUGGUCUCUCUAGAAUCUUUCAGGAAAAGAGACUUUAUGGUUUCUUGCAGACUUUCCAGCAAGGCUUAAUUCCACUGAAAUCAGUGCCUUGGGGCAAUAUCUGUUUUGCCAGCCACCUCAUGGACUGGGAGAGAAAGGGGAAGGGACUAUCAGAGUAUGAAAGAGAGAGAAGAAAACAAAGAAUAUAAUCAAGUUAAUACUUGAAGAUAUAUGCCUGCCUCAAAUGUGAGACUAGUAUCUACAUUAUAAAAGAAUAGAAGAAGUUACAGAAUUUUAUCACAAGUGGAUUGUUUUAGUUAUGAGCAAGUGUUGUAUACUGACAAGUGGGUGAGGUCUGGAUCUGGAUUAUCUGAAUUUGAACAUAGUUUCUUUUUUUUUUUUUUUUUAAAGAUUUUUAUUUUAUUUUUAAUUUUUUUUCCUUAGAGAGAAAGAGCACCUGAUGAGCUGGGGAGAGAGAGCGAGAGAAUUUUAAGCAGGCUCUGUUCUCAGCACAGAGCCCAAUGUGGGGCUCAAUCCCACAACCUUGAGAUCAUGACCUGAGCCAAGAUCAAGAGUUGGAUGCUCAACCACCAGGCGCCCCUGGGUUAUCUGAAUUUGAAUCCUCACUCUUAACAUUUUCCUCCCAGUUUUAUUGAGAUAUAAUUGACAUUCAGCAAUGCAGAAGUUUAAAAUGCACAGCAUAGGGAUACCUGGCUGUCAGUUGGUAGAGCGUGCAAUUCUUGAUCUCAAGAGUGUUGGGUGUGGGGCCUACUUAAACAUGGGGGCCCCAUGUUGGGUGUGGGGCCUACUUAAAAUAAUAAUAAAAUAAUAAAAUAAAAUUAAAUGUACAGCAUAACAACUUGAAUCACAUAUAUUGUAAAAUAAUCACCACAAUAUCUAACACUUUUUAGUUGUAUGUACUUGAGCAAGGUACUGAACUUCUCUGUACCUCAGUUUUCUCAUUAGUGAAAGUGUAUAAUAAUAAUGAUAGCACCUACCUCAUACAGUGUUCUGAGGAAUAAAGAAGUUAAUACAUAUAAACCAUUUAUGGGACGCCUGGGUGGCGCAGUCGGUUAAGCGUCCGACUUCAGCCAGGUCACGAUCUCGCGGUCCGUGAGUUCGAGCCCCGCGUCAGGCUCUGGGCUGAUGGCUCAGAGCCUGGAGCCUGUUUCCAAUUCUGUGUCUCCCUCUCUCUCUGCCCCUCCCCCGUUCAUGCUGUGUCUCUCUCUGUCCCAAAAAUAAAUAAACGUUGA